UAGCAAUGUGGUCUCGCCACGAUGCCCAGGCUGUUCCUGAACUCCCGGGCUCAAGCGAUCCUCCCACAUUGGCUGGGUUUACAGGCCUGAGCCACCAUGCUUGGCCAGCUUUUUCAAUUUAAAAAAUAUAGAAAGUGUUAAUACAAAUUAAAAAGUUAUAAAAUAGUGCCAAUAGUAUCCCAUUUUUCCGAAGACAAACAUAGGCAGAGAAAAAUUAAUGGAUACUGUCU
rnacentral:lncRNA from 1 species